GCAUGCGCGGCGAUAAACGAAAGGAAAACCGAAUCUGCAAGAAGUUUCGCCUUAAAAAUAGGAGAUACUACAAGAUAGGUCAUACGAGGAUUUUCUGCGCUUACAGCACGGACGUAUAUAGAUACAAGCAGUGGUUGCAAAGGACCCGGUGAGAAGACACCGAGGAAAAAUAUAGGCAUUCAGUCUGGCUACUGCCUGUGCAUUGAUAAUUUUGAGGACUCACAGUUCGUGAAUGUGGCUACCAAGAACAGGCACAUUUGGUGUGCUGUGCCGUCAAUUUUCAAUGUGCCAAACCCACAGUUCACCAAAUUACCACAUUUUUUAUCAGUUUAAGGAUAAUACACUCUCAUGAUGCGUCUGGCAAUUAGACCACUCGAUAUCAUCAUGAUGGAGAGCGUCGGCCAUGACAGGCCUGCGGUUCCAAUGGACUGGAGCUUGGCGAUGACCCAUCCGCCGACUCUGUCAA